rnacentral:rRNA from 1 species
GGGUCAGUAGGUUGGUCGUGCCACCGGUACGUACUGGUCUCACUGAUUCCUCCUUCCUGAAGUACCGUAAUGCCAUUAAUUUGGUGUUGCGGGGAAACAGGACUGUUACUUUGAAAAAAUUAGAGUGUUUAAAGCAAGCUAACGCUUGAAUACAUUAGCAUGGAAUAAUGAAAUAGGACGAUCGAUCCUAUUUUGUUGGGUUCUAGGAUUGACGUA